rnacentral:rRNA from 1 species
GUAGACCACAGGGAUUGCCCUAGUAACGGCGAGUGAAGCGGCAACAGCUCAAAUUUGAAAUCUGGCCUCGGCCCGAGUUGUAAUUUGCAGAGGAUGCUUCUGGCGCGGUGCCUUCCGAGUUCCCUGGAACGGGACGCCACAGAGGGUGAGAGCCCCGUAUGGUCGGACACCAAGCCUGUGUGAAGCUCCUUCGACGAGUCGAGUAGUUUGGGAAUGCUGCUCUAAAUGGGAGGUAAAUCUCUUCUAAAGCUAAAUACCGGCCAGAGACCGAUAGCGCACAAGUAGAGUGAUCGAAAGAUGAAAAGCACCUUGAAAAGGGGGUUAAAUAGUACGUGAAAUUGUUGAAAGGGAAGCACUUAUGACCAGACUUGGGCCGGGCGGCUCAUCAGGGGUUCUCCCCUGUGCACUCCGCCCGGCACAGGCCAGCAUCGGUUCUCGUGGGGGGAUAAGACCGUCAGGAACGUAGCACUCUCCGGAGUGUGUUAUAGCCUGGCGGACGAUACCCCCGUGGGGACCGAGGUCCGCGCAUUGCAAGGAUGCUGGCGUAAUGGUCAUCAGUGACCCGUCUUGAAACACGGACCAAGGAGUCGUCCAUUAGAGCGAGCGUUUGGGUGUAAAACCCGCACGCGUAAUGAAAGUGAACGCAGGUGAGAGCUUCGGCGCAUCAUCGACCGAUCCUGAUGUUCUCGGAAGGAUUUGAGUAAGAGUUUUAACGGACGGACCCGAAAGACAGUGAACUAUGCUUGAAUAGGGUGAAGCCAGAGGAAACUCUGGUGGAGGCUCGCAGCGGUUCUGACGUGCAAAUCGAUCGUCAAAUUUGAGCA